rnacentral:rRNA from 1 species
UCCUACGGGAGGCAGCAGUAGGGAAUCUUCCGCAAUGGGCGAAAGCCUGACGGAGCAACGCCGCGUGAGUGAUGAAGGUCUUCGGAUCGUAAAACUCUGUUAUUAGGGAAGAACAAACGUGUAAGUAACUGUGCACGUCUUGACGGUACCUAAUCAGAAAGCCACGGCUAACUACGUGCCAGCAGCCGCGGUA